GCAUCCUUCGAAGGCUGCAUUCGAAGGAUGCGUCGACGCCGAUUGCGUCACAGCGUCGCGCCAAGUGCUGUCCCAAUUCCAAGGGUCCUUCAUAUGCGGCCUACGAAUGCAGCCUUCUUUUCCCGGAUUUGAAGGAUGCAUCGGCUGUAUCCUUCGCGGCCCAACGUAUCCCAAGAUCCUUCACGGCCCAACGUAUCCCUCCCAAGAUUCAUUGCGCAUUCAAUCCAAAAAAUAAAACAACAAUGGCGGAGAAUGUGGAUUUGACUUUUUCAUUUAAAUGGAGCAAGGAGCAUACUGCUCAAUUUAUCAAACUCAGGGGGGAGAACGACGAGCUCUUCACCGGGGUGAAACAUUCGGCGAGUGUGGCUUGGGGGACAAUUCUGGAGAAAAUAGGCCUGCAGGGGAAUGUGACUCCCCUGCAGGCAAAGAAAAAAUGGGAUAAUUUAAAAAAAAUAUAUAAAGUAUGUACAGGUUAUUUUAUACAUUAUUUGUUUUAACCAUGCAAGUUAAUAAACACUUUUGCUGAAAUUUGUUUCGAUACUGCUGUUGUUGUUAACUGCCAUGAUUGAUUUCCUCUGCCUUAGGAUUGCAAGUAUCCAGGGUCAGGAGAGGGUGUAGGUGGGAAACCCACUGCUGCCACUUGGCCCUGGUUUGUCCUCAUGGAUGAGGUAUUGGGACAGAGGCAUUCCAUCAACCCCCCUGUCCUAAUUGCCUCCAUCCCUGAGGACACACCAGGGCCAAGUACGGCAGUGGUGGAUUUGGAGGUGGAGGAGAAGGAUGAGGAGGAGAGCAGGUCCAGGAGGAGGUCCAGAAAGAGGGACAGAGAGGACGAAAUGUUCGAAUUGAUUAAAGAGGACAUGAGGCUGAACAGGGAGGGAGAGGAGAGAAGAGCCCAGGAGAGCAGGGAGAGAAUGGACCGUUUUUUUUCAAUUUUGGAGCGUAUUGCUGACAAAUAAUUUCAGUUCUGUUAA